GAUGAACGCUGGCGGCGUGCUUAACACAUGCAAGUCGAACGGGAAAUAUUUCAUUGAGACUUCGGUGGAUUUGAUCUAUUUCUAGUGGCGGACGGGUGAGUAACGCGUGGGUAACCUGCCUUAUACAGGGGGAUAACAGUCAGAAAUGGUUGCUAAUACCGCAUAAGCGCACAGAGCUGCAUGGCUCAGUGUGAAAAACUCCGGUGGUAUAAGAUGGACCCGCGUUGGAUUAGCUAGUUGGUGGGGUAACGGCCCACCAAGGCGACGAUCCAUAGCCGGCCUGAGAGGGUGAACGGCCACAUUGGGACUGAGACACGGCCCAGACUCCUACGGGAGGCAGCAGUGGGGAAUAUUGCACAAUGGGGGAAACCCUGAUGCAGCGACGCCGCGUGAAGGAAGAAGUAUCUCGGUAUGUAAACUCCUAUCAGCAGGGAAGAUAGUGACGGUACCUGACUAAGAAGCCCCGGCU
rnacentral:rRNA from 1 species